rnacentral:rRNA from 1 species
GACGGGAAAGCUCGAAGGGUACGGCCGGGGUAGGAGUGAAAUCCUGUAAUCCCGUCCGGACCACGGAUGGCGAAAGCACUUCGAGAAAACGGAUCCGACAGUGAGGGACGAAAGCUAAGAUCGCGAACCGGAUUAGAUACCCGGGUAGUCUUAGCCGUAAACAAUGUUCGUUAGGUAUGACACAGACUACGCGUCUGUGUUGUGCCGUAGGGAAGCCGAGAAACGAACCGCCUGGGAAGUACGUCUGCAAGGAUGAAACUUAAAGGAAUUGGCGGGGGAGCACUACAACCGGAGGAGCCUGCGGUUUAAUUGGACUCAACGCCGGACAUCUCACCAGCCCCGACUACAGUGAUGACGAUCAGGUUGAUGACCUCGUCACGAUGCUGUAGAGAGGAGGUGCAUGGCCGCCGUCAGCUCGUACCGUGAGGCGUCCUGUUAAGUCAGGCAACGAGCGAGACCCGCACCCCUAAUUGCCAGCAACAAUUUCGAUUGGUUGGGUACAUUAGGAGGACUGCCAGUGCGAAACUGGAGGAAGGAACGGGCAACGGUAGGUCAGUAUGCCCCGAAUGGGCUGGGCAACACGCGGGCUACAAUGGUCGAGACAAUGGGUCGCUACCUCGAAAGAGGACGCUAAUCUCCGAAACUCGAUCGUAGUUCGGAUUGUGAGCUGCAACCCGCUCACAUGAAGCUGGAUUCGGUAGUAGUCGCCUUUCAGUAAAAGGCGGCGAAUACGUCCCUGCUCCUUGCACACACCGCCCGUC